rnacentral:misc_RNA from 1 species
AAUGGGUAACGGUGAGUCUGUGGUGAACAUGUAUCCGUCUAAUAUUCGAUUCACCCACGACAGCAUUCAAUCCAAUUUCAGCGAUGGACACUCUAUCCCAGAAACAUUUCGUCAAAUUCUGUGGAAAAAGCUAACUGUUGAAGAUUUGCCAUUGAUUGAAGUUAUGAAAUCUGGAGGAGAGUGGUUCGUUGUACGGGGGAAUGGAAGGUUGUUUCUAUUUCAAGAGUUAGAGAAAAGAGGUCUGGUAUCUCAGGUCAAAGUUCAAACAAGAUCAGUAUCUCUUUCAAACACAACACACAACUUCGAAUAAAGGAAAAACUGUUUUGAUCCGUGGUUAUGGCCAUCAUGCAGUGAAGCAAGAAUUAGAUGAGAUAUGGUCUGAAUACCAGCGGGAGACCUCUCGUUGUGCAAUCAUGUGAUAGAAACGACAGCAGAAGUGUUUCAGGAGUACAUGCGUACAUGUUAAGUAAUAUAAAUUGCAUGAAAUAAAGAUUAGAAG